CUGGGUACCUGCCCAGGGGCUUGGCUCCAUGUUGCCUAGACCCUAGGAGCCACUUGUCAUCUGGGUUGGACCGAGAGGGGUCAGCCCUGCCAGGAACUUGUCCAAUGGCUUCUGACAGCCAACUCACAUCAGCGCAUACAUGGAGGGUGCCAGGGAAACUGAGGGGUUUUCACUGUUGGAUUCUGGGGUCCUAGCGCCAGCAUUUCUCAGUGUGCCCUUAUCCCCUCAACUCCUCUACAGCUCCUAAGAGAUAGUCGUCCAAACGAUGCUGGGUGGUUAAGAGGAGUAAACGAAUGGAUGAAUGAAUGGAAAAAAGUUACUAAGAGGCAGCUAUAGAAUUGAAAGCAGCCUAGAAAGUUUGACCUAGGUGUUGCUAUUUAACAAAGGGAACCGAGUUUCCACGGGAAUAAUUGGCUUUCCUAUGGUCACAGAGUUAGGGGGAAGAAAGUUGGGAUCCCAGCUCCAAGGCUGGUCCAACUGCUUGGCACAGGCCUCUGCUGCCUCAGCAACUUGGACGUUCCCUGAGGCGAUGCUCGGCCCAGUGUGUAGAGGCAGGUGAAGAAUCUGCCAUUCCCUAGGGGAAAGCGUAAAAGGAAACUUCGUGAGUCUGGGCGGCUGCCAGUCACUGCCCCUCCUUCACAACCUCCAGCUCUGCUCUAAGAAUUGCCAAGAACACGUCACCUCUGAGCAGGUUCUCAGCGCAUAUUUGGAGGAUGAAUCUGUCGCCUGGGAUCAGUGCAAAUUCCUCAGCCAAAAGUCACAGGCUGCGAAAUUUCAAUAAAGCAGGUAAAAUUGAUGUCAUAACUCCUAACUCUGCAAUAGAUUGGAAUGUGCACCAUGGCUUCCGAAUAGGCGUUCUGCCACUCUGUACAAGCACAGGAUAUUCAUCACUCGCCAUCACAGAACAACGGUAUGUGUGCUUGAAAGAGCCACUCGCUAUGCCAAGCAUGGCGCCAACGUAAGCCGUCUCGUUUAAACUUCGUCGGAACAGGAUGGGUUCUAGAAACUCUACUCUCCUGCUCUGGCUCUGAGAUAACUCCCCAGUGUGAGCUGGGGAGUCUGCUGCCCAGAGGUUACCUCUCAGGGUACUUCUGCGAUAAGUCAACCUGCGUGUGCCAUCAAUUAACACCUCAAGUCCGGUCAGGCCGAUGCAGGCUUGUUGUCUAAGCAAAUAGGUCUGGCAUUCUCAGACCAAAGAAAACAAGAGACAUAGCCUAGCCCUCAAGACACCUAAAACCACAAUCACAAUAAUACCGAAAUUAGAGGAACAGUUAAGUGUCAAAUUGUGAGAGUCUUCCUUGAUGCACUGGGAUUUUCAAAAUGACAGGUAAGCCAAAACAAGUUUGCCAAAAAACCAAACAAGACUGGAAGGGUUGAACAACACAAGUGAAUUGUCUCAGAGCUCUGGAGGCGGGGAGGCUGAGGUCAAGAUGGUACCAGGGCUGGUUCCCCCUGAGGCUCUGAGGGAAACUGUUUGACACUCCUAUCUUGCUUCUGCUGGUUGGCCAACAUUUGUUUGUGUUAGUUCCUACUGUUGACACAUAUUAAUGAGAUGCAUUAUGUCACUCUGUCUUUGUACUCGGAGUGUGUGCCCUGGUAUCUUUCUUCUUCAUAGAGAUGCCAGGCACAGUGGAUUAGCAUUACCAGCCACAUCUGUUUCCAAGCAAGGCUGAAUCCUGAGGUGCUGAGGACUAGGAGUUCAGUCCAUGAGUCGAUUUAAUGCAUAACCAGUGGAGUUCUGCCUCCAGAAGCCUGUCCCACAAUUUGGAUCACACACAUGGUCUUCAUGCCUGCCCACAGAUCCCCAAGGAGCCUUCCUGAAAAUUACUUGCAAUUGUCCUACCCAGUCCUUGGAGGAGGUACCGGUCCCACAUUAUUUUACUUGCAGCUCAGGUGUGACUGCCCCACCCUGGGUGAGAGGGUAACUGUGAACAACAGUCAGCUGGGAGAGCAUGAAGGAGUGAGCUAAGAAGAGACUUAAGGUUAAAAAUAGCCCCAACAGCAGCGGUAUGUGGAGUAUAUCUGGAUGACCUUUGGCCUUUUAUGACUUUGAUUUUCAAACAGCACAGUCAUGAGGUCUUGAUGACACAGCUCUCCACUUGGCACCCUGGAAAUUUCCAACCCUGGGGAAGUGUGAGCAAACAUGGUGGCUUACUUUUCUUUCUCCUUGCCUGAACGACCUUCAGAAGCUUCCAGAAGCCUGGAGAGAGUCCCGUGAAGAUUUUGAUGUAGCCCUGUCUGUCCCUGUCCUGUGUUUCAAAGCAGCUGGGUGAUUCAGGAAAGCCACACAAUGUAUGUGAGUCUCCAUUUUCUCAUCUGCAAGUUGCUGAGAGUGGGUGAUUUUAUUUCCUCUAGGAGAAUUGUGCCCCUCCCCAAACUCCAGCUCCAGGCACAGCAUAGGGAUUGAUCUGCUCUUAAAUUGGCCCGGAUGGCCAGGCGACCCACUUCUGGAGCUUAAGACCAAAGGCACUGGCUCUAUGCGCAUCCCCCUUCAGUUCAGGGUGGAAGCCUGGAGCUGGGAGCCAUGUUGGUUACCACCACAGCAAAUCUAGGAAGAGAGAAAGUGCACUUAUGCCGGGCAUGCUGCAGACAGAGACAAUUCCUCCCGUUUACAUCUUCUGAGCGCCCAGCUUUCUCCUCCCCUUCACAGACUGAUCGUCAGCUUCCCAAUCCUCGUAAGGCCUGAACGAAGCAGGUGGGAGGUAGGCCCAACCAGGCAGGGAACUUCUAUUCAGAGGUGCCAUGCCCCUCUGAAUGAGGCGGGUAGGAGUGAGGGAUGACUGGCAAGGCACUUGAUGGCUAAAAUCAAAGCCCUGCCAAUUAGCGGGAAUUCAAAACAUCACCAGGGUCACUUGCGGAGUGCAGAGAUUACAGGUACACACCGCCAUGCCCAAUUUACUUAGUGGUCGGGCUGAAAUCCAGGACUUCCUGCGUGCUAGGCAAGCAUUCCUCUGACUGGGCUGUAUCACCAGCCCCACUCAAGAGGAGUGUUGGCAUAAGUGUGGCAAACUGAUGGUGGUGCUUUAUGUUAGCCAUGGAGGAAUCAUGUGUGUGUCAAGGCAGCAUAAGUGGGAGGAGUAAGUGCUCCCAGUAAUGUGAGUGAGGGUAGGGUGUCAAGUGUGUGCCCAAUAAGCAGAUGGGCAAACUGAGCCCUUCCAGCAUCAGGCACUGUCUCACUAUCUACCUCAAGGGCAGGAUUUCCUGACCCAGAACUCAGAUUGUCCUUUGGUUAAUUCCCCAUUCAUCAUGGGUAAUAUCCCCACCUGGGGGAGUCUGUUUUCCCCUGUAAGCGCCUUUCCCCAAGUCAACCACCUUCUCAGAGCUGAAAGAGCUGCCAGCUGCCUGGCAGCACAAAGCCCUUGGGUUGCACUUGUAAUUUUUUUUUAAAGAGAUAAAAUCGCUGGUGACGUUUCCGCCCUCCACUGCCAGACAGCAGCUUUCAGCACAGUUGUGUCCCUACACCGAGGUCAUCACCUGAGAGUCUCAAAGCACUCCUCAGCUCCCUUGUUAUAAACCUGGGGAAGAUGAGGCAGAGCUGUAUGUCUUCGUAGCCUCGGGAAGUGGAAGAGUUAAACACUCAACCAGGAAGCCACCGCCAUGACAAGGCAGGCAAAGACAUGUUUGGCCAACUGCACCUGACUUCUAGGUCUGCUCAUCUUCUUGGGACCAGCAAGGAUAGAAUGAAAACUCCACCGACCAUGACGACAUAAGUGUGUGACAGCUUGUCUCACACCUUCCACCGUUUCAUCCCUACCAAGCCCCAUCCCUGAAGGGACAGACUCCUGCCAAGAAAGGGAGAAGGAGUCUCAGCUGGGAGGGAUGGUCAACACCGGGACAAGAAGUGCUCCUGUGACUUACCGGGUUCCAGUCCGCGCUUCUUAGCACACAGAGUCCUGCUUUGCAAACAAGCUACCUGUCCAUCACCAUUGCUGUGUUUCUGGACAAAGUGAUGCCAAAUGCCUUUCUCUGCUCAAGUUCCACUGAGGGAAACUGAGAAAAUAAAUUUCCUCUCAGUGUCCUGUAGGUGGACUCCAGCUAGCUUUCCAGCAGCUCAUAAAACAAAAGCAACAGAAAAAUUAACCAAAAAAUUAAUAGCAACAUUUAUUAUUUGCUUUUGUGCCAGGUACUGUUAAGCAGAUCUUAGUCGCAUCUUAAGGAUGCUACCAUCUACGCUGUUUAGAAAGAGAAGGCAGGAAACUCUACCAAGUUCACAGACACCUGGAAACCCUGUGGUGAGGUUGGCACCUCAGCAGCUCACUGCCUGGCAUAGACUGCCCACCUCUUGGGGAAAAUCCAUUGGUAAGAUUCAGGGAGUCCUUCCUUCAGAUGCUGGACCACAGUGUGGGUAUGGUUAGGAGACCUGAUCUGCAGAGCACGUGGUGAGCUCUCUGAGACAGCACAUCUGGGAUGCUGGAGAAGCCAGCUUCGCUGGGGACAGUCAUGAAAGAGACAGCAAGUCCUGCAGAGUCAGGAUAGAAGCCAAAGAAAAGACGAUGGCCUGUCUCACAGCAAGAAUCAGGACCCUCGACUA